GAAAAGAAAGAGCAAACGUGAAAAUACGGGCAGAGACACAGGACGCGGAGGAAUGUGGGGAAUAAGACGAGCAAAGCCAAGAACGGGGAAAGAAACACAAAGCAGUGCAACGUUUGCGAAAUGGAGACAAUGAGUCAUAAGCCAAGAAUGCCAUGUGAUUUAUAUUUUCUUAAUGGGGGAGGGGGUGGGGUCGGAACUUGAUACCGAGCUCUACUUUCAUUCUUUUUCACUUAAGGACAUUACAAACAUACACAAGGCACCCAGGCUCCAUGUCGGAGACAGCGCUGCACUUUCCAUUUAGUUAAUGUCAUAGUUGGUGCUUUUGAAGGCGCCGACUGGACGACUGUGGAGGCUUCACACGCUUGGCUUUCUGUUCCUCUGGUCCCCACUCCAGCGCCACGAAGGGCAAAACUAAAGGGCGUCUCUCGUUUAUUUUCUCUCCCUCACUUGCUAUUUUAGGAGAGGGGAAGAAGUGGGAGAAGGAAAGGAGCUCGUGAGUCGCUGGAGCACACGGGUCGAAGCGCGGGGAAGAAAAAGCAAGGCUCCGCAGCGGUGAAGGAGGCGAAACGACAUGAGAUCCCCACCGGUCCCAGCACCGGGGCCAGCAUUGGAUCCAGCAUUGGGUCCAGCACCGGGUCCAUCGCCGGGUCCAGCAUUGGAUCAAGCACCGGAUCAAGCACCGGGUCCAGCACCGGAUCAAGCACCGGGUCCAGUACCGGGUCCAGCACCGGAUCAAGCACCGGGUCCAGCACCGGGUCCAGCACCGGGUUCCUGCGCUAAACUACAGCUCCAUGCACAUUCUACAGUGUUACAACCACAUCAACAAGCAGCACUCGCUCCCACGGUCCUCAGCUCAGACAGAUCAGCCUGUCCAUGCGACUGGACACGUAUGACUUCAGUUUUCAUUUUACUGCAGUUUGUUUUUCAUAACCAGCACGUGACAGUGGUUCAUUAAAUGGCGGCGUGGACUUAA